rnacentral:rRNA from 1 species
AUUGAACGCUGGCGGCAUGCCUUACACAUGCAAGUCGAACGCGAAAGUAGGGGCAACCCUGCGAGUAGAGUGGCGAACGGGGGAGUAAUGCAUCGGAACAUUUCCAGUAGCGGGGGAUAACCUCGAGAAAUCGAGGCUAAUACCGCAUACGUCCUACGGGAGAAAGCGGGGGACCGCAAGGCCUCGCACUAUUGGAGUGGCCGAUGCCGGAUUAGCUAGUUGGCGGGGUAAAAGCCGACCAAGGCGACGAUCCGUAGCUGGUCUGAGAGGAUGAUCAGCCACACUGGGACUGAGACACGGCCCAGACUCCUACGGGAGGCAGCAGUGGGGAAUUUUGGACAAUGGGCGCAAGCCUGAUCCAGCCAUGCCGCGUGAGUGAAGAAGGCCUUCGGGUUGUAAAGCUCUUUCGGCCGGGACGAAAUCGCACCCUUUAAUACGGGGUGUGGAUGACGGUACCGGAAGAAGAAGGACCGGCUAACUACGUGCCAGCAGCCGCCGUAA